AGCUGGUUGGUGAGGUAAAGGCUUACCAAGGCGACGAUCUGUAGCGGGUCUGAGAGGAUGAUCCGCCACACUGGAACUGAGACACGGUCCAGACUCCUACGGGAGGCAGCAGUGGGGAAUUUUGGACAAUGGGGGCAACCCUGAUCCAGCCAUGCCGCGUGAGUGAAGAAGGCCUUCGAGUUGUAAAGCUCUUUCGGCCGGGAAGAAAUCGCAUGGGCCAAUACCCUGUGUGGAUGACGGUACCGGAAUAAGAAGCACCGGCUAACUACGUGCCAGCAGCCGCGGUAAUACGUAGGGUGCGAGCGUUAAUCGGAAUUACUGGGCGUAAAGCGUGCGCAGGCGGUUUUGUAAGACAGGCGUGAAAUCCCCGGGCUUAACCUGGGAACUGCGUUUGUGACUGCAAGGCUAGAGUACGGCAGAGGGGGGUGGAAUUCCACGUGUAGCAGUGAAAUGCGUAGAGAUGUGGAGGAACACCAAUGGCGAAGGCAGCCCCCUGGGUCGAUACUGACGCUCAUGCACGAAAGCGUGGGUAGCAAACAGGAUUAGAUACCCUGGUAGUCCACGCCCUAAACUAUGUCAACUAGGUGUUGGGUGGGUAAAACCAUUUAGUACCGUAGCUAACGCGUGAAGUUGACCGCCUGGGGAGUACGGCCGCAAGGUUAAAACUCAAAGGAAUUGACGGGGACCCGCACAAGCGGUGGAUGAUGUGGAUUAAUUCGAUGCAACGCGAAAAACCUUACCUACCCUUGACAUGCCAGGAACUUGCCAGAGAUGGCUUGGUGCCCGAAAGGGAGCCUGGACACAGGUGCUGCAUGGCUGUCGUCAGCUCGUGUCGUGAGAUGUUGGGUUAAGUCCCGCAACGAGCGCAACCCUUGUCGUUAAUUGCCAUCAUUUAGUUGGGCACUUUAACGAGACUGCCGGUGACAAACCGGAGGAAGGUGGGGAUGACGUCAAGUCCUCAUGGCCCUUAUGGGUAGGGCUUCACACGUCAUACAAUGGUCGGUACAAAGGGUUGCCAAGCCGCGAGGCGGAGCCAAUCCCAGAAAGCCGAUCGUAGUCCGGAUUGCAGGCUGCAACUCGCCUGCAUGAAGUCGGAAUCGCUAGUAAUCGUGGAUCAGCAUGUCACGGUGAAUACGUUCCCGGGUCUUGUACACACCGCCCGUCACACCAUGGGAGCGGGUUCCGCCAGAAGUAGGUAGCCUAACCGCAAGGGGGGCGCUUACCACGGCGGGGUUCGUGACUGGGGUGAAGUCGUAACAAGGUAGCCGUAGGGGAACCUGCGGCUG
rnacentral:rRNA from 1 species